CUGCCAAAGCAACUCGACGACGCCUACAUCGAGACACCGACACAAGGAAUAAGACCGCGGCGCGCCAUCGUUGCCAAGCCUCGGCACACCCCAUACGAGGUAGCUCCGAUUCUUCACCACGAGCAAAGAUCCACAACGCAGAACUCCGGGAGCAAGCAGACGCCUAAAGCGACAAAGGCCCGGACACCAUCGAGCCAAGCAGAGGACGAAGAGCCUCCACAACACCGACGAACACACAAACUAGAGGUCUUCUGGGCUGCGCCUUCAAGAAGGAGAAACGACGUCGAAAAGCCGUCGCCGCCCGCCUGA
rnacentral:misc_RNA from 1 species